rnacentral:rRNA from 1 species
UACAGAGGGUGCGAGCGUUAAUCGGAAUUACUGGGCGUAAAGCGUGCGUAGACGGUUAUGUAAGUCGGGUGUGAAAGCCCCGGGCUCAACCUGGGAAUUGCAUUCGAGACUGCAUAGCUAGGAUGCGGAAGAGGGAAGUGGAAUUUCCGGUAUAGCGGUGAAAUGCGUAGAUAUCGGAAGGAACAUCAGUGGCGAAAGCGACUUCCUGGUCCAGCAUCGACGUUCAGGCACGAAAGCGUGGGGAGCAAACAGG